GCUCACUUCGUCAGCCCAUGUAUUAAAAUUGGAAUGAUACAGAGAAGACUAGCAUGACCCCUGUGUAAGGAUGAUGUGCAAAUUUGUGCAGCAUUCCAUAUUUUA